UACAGAGGUCCCGAGCGUUGUUCGGAUUCACUGGGCGUAAAGGGUGCGUAGGUGGUGAGGUAAGUCGGAUGUGAAAUCUCGGAGCUUAACUCCGAAAUGGCAUUGGAAACUGCCUUGCUUGAGGUUUGGAGGGGGGACUGGAAUUCUCGGUGUAGCAGUGAAAUGCGUAGAUAUCGAGAGGAACACCAGUGGCGAAGGCGAGUCCCUGGACAACACCUGACACUGAGGCACGAAAGCUAGGGGAGCAAACAGG
rnacentral:rRNA from 1 species